rnacentral:lncRNA from 1 species
UGACAUAAACAGCAUUGAGUUCAAGCAGCUAUAGUACAGAACAGUACAAAUCACCAUCCAUCCUAAAGAGGCCACAAACAUCACCAGCCCAAUUUUUGUUUUCCUUUGCCGGUCAUUGUAAAGCAACAGUAUUGAGGAGAGAAUUACUCAUCCUCUUAGAUACCAGCUCCUUGGGCCAAAACUAUAAUGAUAGUUCAUGUAGUUUAAAAGAAUAAACCAGUCUGCCCACAGCAAAUACCUCCCCAAGUGCAGACUUUUAUUAACAUAGAGCUAUCUUCCACCUAUCCAGGAAAGUUCUCGCGAUGAUAAACGCCCAUCAGACCUUCAUCGGGAGCUGCGCUCCUCUGGCAGAGAAGGUCAUUGAGAUGCUUGCCCUGAAGAAUUUUUGUCGGGAGCCUGUUCCUCACAUUCAUGUGCCGCUGCAGCUUCUCUUGAACAACGUCUACCAGCGGAUCACCAGUCGCCUAGCAGAGGGUCACGGAAUAAAUUCGUUUCAGGAAAGUGAUGUCAAUGUAGUUUUGAAGGACAUUGCCAGAAGGACAAAGGCUUGGCUUGGUACCAGACAUCAGACAGGAAAUGCAGAGGAUGUUUUGCAGCCAAAGAAGUUGGAGGAUGUUCUGCAGUGCCUUAAUCUAAUACUAGCUUUGGUCACAAUUUUCUUGAAACACCCACAGAAAAUACCAUUCAGCCCCGUGAUGACAUCACUGCAGAUUUGGGAAUUGUUCUCUGAAACAGAAGAUUUACUGCAAACCAAAAGGGAUUUUCGGGUCCUUAAGCAGACCCAGGGGCUCAAGGAAUUUAUGAAUGUAGCAGAAUCAUGGAUCCAGGAGUUAUUCCCCAAAUCGUCUGAACAGGAAAAAGUCUUUUUUCAUUAUAUUGACGUGAGUCCAAAAAAUCCCAGUGAGACUGAUUUUUUCAUUGCUAUUAAAAAUAGUCAACUGAUAGGCUUGUUCUGUUCCUAGAUGUGGGAUCAGCUCAUUUCCGCUGGACUGUUCUGUGAUGAGUGGACCCGGGACUGGCGAAAACAUAUUAAAUCUUUGUUUGCAGAGUGGCUAAAAAGGGUGAGUUGACUAAUUGACAAUCAGAAAGAUGGUCUUUCCCUCACAGAACUUAAACGGAGAUACAGACAGAUGGGGAAGACAGCAGUGGGAUGAUUAUUAUUGGAAGAAUAAACAACAGUAGCUGCGUACCA